AGCUCCUUCAGCAAUAAAGAAAAAAGUUGAGCAAUUCAGCUUUAAAUCACAUGAUGAGGCAAAUCACAGUUUAUCAACUGGUUAUAGGAUAGUUCUAACGUGUGAGAUAAGAUGAGCUCUCUUUCCGUUAUCUGUUGGGGAAAGAAGAUGCUCAACAUCCAGGAAAUUGACAAAUGUUUAAUUACUUAGGUUGGGUAGCUUAUAAAUACAAUGUGAACAGGGACAGUUUCCACCACACAAUUAUUUUCUUCCAAGUUGUUAUCUGUUUCAGCUGGGAUAGGCUAGAUUGUUCCAUGGCAACAAAAUUACCCCCAAAGUUUCCGCAGUUUACAACAACCAAGAUUCAUUUUUCAAUACACUAUCUGCUCAGUGAGUAUUAGCAAGUGGUUCUGCUCCAUGUCAAUACCUAUAUGCGACCCACAGUGAUGGAGGAGUCUCUUUUGAUAUUGGUGUCUGUUAUGGCAAAGGCAAAGACAAAAGUAGACCUUGGUCAUAGAACAAACUAUGGCUUAAGUUUCUGUCUGGAUAUAAUACGAGUCACUUCCCUUCCCAUGUCCAUUUCAGUGGCAGAACAAGUCAAUCCAAAUCUGACUUCAGCGCCUUUGGGAAAAUACAGUUCCAACCCCGGGAAGGGAAGCAAGGUUUGGAUGAGUGGUAAUGAAAUCCACCUCUCCAUCCAACUCAGGUGUCAUUGCUUUAUUUGAGUGAGUUUUUUUUCUUCUUAAGAUCCCCCUUUAAAACGAGCCUGGAAACAGUGUUUAUAGAAAUCAGUUUCACUAGUUCUAAAGAAGGGGUCUCAUUGUUGGGAUGUGUUGUCUGACCUUAUUAGUUGAUUUCAACCAUAGGCUGAAAAAUGGAUGACCCAUUUUAGGACUAUCACCACCCAUAGAACUAUAGGUUUUCCUGCUUAAGGGUUUCACACUGAUGCAACAAAGGAGUACGCUCUUCACCAAAAGGACCAAAGCUUUCUCCUGCUCUGUCAGCUGCUGGUUUCCUCCAGCUAGUUACUAAAACUAGGUACAAGGAGGUGAGAUAUCACUCCUCAGCAAGUCUGCAGCAUCUGUGCUUAUGACAGUACCCUGGUAAUUCCUGAUAAUUGUAUCACUCCCUGAUGGAAAACCAGCUUUUAUUUCAGCAACAACAAGGGUUGUGCUGGACCCCUGACCUCACCUGAAGAUGUCUUUAUGUUGGAUCUGCCUUAUAUAUGGGGCAGUUGGUUCAAGACUUAGAGAAAUUUCUACAGAUGCUCUCAUUCCAGGUAAGUUGUUUUUGUUUUGCUUUUGCGAUAGGACCUAGUCAUAUUUUGUCCACUACUGGAAAGCAUAGAUUAGUAUUCCAUGCGGAAACUGGUUUAUUACUUCCGAUGUGUUUUUGUAAAUAAACAUUGGCUGCAUCAACAACACGAUCUAACCUUAUGCAAGUCAGUAUAGUAAUGCUGGACCUUAGCGAUCUGAGGGUGGAAUGAAAUGCGGUAUGUUUUUUUCCAAGACAAAGUAAUAAGCUGUAUGUUUUACAAUAUGAAUAGGAUUAGGGAUACAUAAGGAUAUUUAUCCAGAGUUUCUCUUCUCUUUGUUUUGUAGAGUGACGGGACCCAACCGGGGGAAUCGGCCAGAAGCAACAAUGGCUUCAGGCUUGGCGAAAUGGACUAAAACAUGAAGAAGUUGUUGCAAACAGUGUGGCCCUUUCUUCCCAGACAUCGGACAUACCACAUCUGUUACCUGCUUAACCAUCCAUCUACUCCUUUGCUACAGCUGCAUAUCCAGGAUUCUGUGUGCUAUCAUUGUUCUUUAUGGAUACCAUGUAUAAAUUUAAAGAAUAAGUGUAAAUUAAUUAAAGUUGUUAUUUUAAAAUAUGUA